UUUUUUGCUACACUCCAUUUUCUCCUCUCCCACUCUUCUUGCUUCCUUUGACUCCUCAUAUAAUAAUAACAAACAUGUCCGGAGACAAGAUGAAGGUAAUUCUCAAAUUGGAUUUGCACGGCGAUAAGGAGAAGCAAAAGGCAUUUAAAGUUGUCUCCAAGCUUUAUGG